UAAAGUGAGUAACAAAACAUUUAGAAAUGUAAAUUUUACGCUGUGGUUGUUCGAACUCCAUUUUGCGCCCCAAACUUUUUUCUUGUCAUGUAUGUUUCUUAGUCUAAUUUCAGGAUGAAUGGGAAAAGGGCCGUAAUGACCUCAGACGCCCAGUUCCACUACAACGAACGAACGAACGCUGUGGUUGUUUAGCUGUAGUUCUCUAAGUUUAAACUUUCCCAUUUAAAAUAAUGAUUAUAAAGUUUAAAAGAAAAAUGCGGCUAGCUACUAAACAAAAGGACAUUAAACGGAUAGGAAAACUUUGAUAACUCUAAAUUUGACAUCCGUAUUGACGCAAGCACUCGUCACAUUGGACUUUUUCCGAAGGGAAAAAAGACACAACUCACGAAAGUUGUCUACUCAAAUAGUCGUACAGAAAGGUAAACAAAUCUUCUAAAAGUCUGCUGUACACCCAUAAUAUUCCAGGAAAACUAACUUUCGUUUAUUUUGAGGUAAAGAUUCAAUUUAAAGGAAACAAAAUUUAGGAACUCAAGGAAACUGCAAUAUCAAGAAACCAAUUGCUACUAAUUUUUAGAGCAAUGGACUUAAAAUAUUGAGAGCUAGGAAAAUCGUUAGGAUACAGCUUGGAUCGGAAUGAUUGUUGAACGGAUAAGACUCUCCCCCCCCCCCUCCUCCGAGAAAAGCCUAUGAAGAUAAACAUUGUAAGUCGUUGGAGAGGAGUGUCAAUUACGAAAAGAUAAUUCAUACAUUUAAAGAAAGGAUUACUUAUCGCUAUUUAUAUAUAACUCAAUACGCAUAAUUUGUGUUACAUUCUGUAUUUGUGUUACUUUUGAAAGGUUCAUUAUUAUAUCGAUAUUAUAGUAUAUCUGUUUUUGACAUUGUGUUCUUUUCACGUUGUUAAGCUUUAUACAUGAUUCAGAAAUUAGAAAAUAAUUUUGAAGACUAGUAUAUACAAAAAUAUUAUUCAUUAAGAAUUUUGAAAUCGCAUGUCUGUCUUAAAUGUAAAUAUAAUAGACACUUCGUUGCUUUGAAACUAAACCGUAGUAACUCGAAAAAUGAGAUAUUUAGGUCAUUUUGUUUUUAAACGAAAUUCACCCUUUUAGAGAAACAACCUGUUAUCUUCAUAGUUCCAUAAAAUUAAUUUAAAGAGCAGAUAAAUUGUUAUCGCAUUGGCGCGAUUCGCAUUAGCAUGGAAUGUUAGAAAUCGCUCUCCUGAAAAACUUGCUUUUUUGAGUCACCACGGUUUAGUUUCAAAGCGACUGCUUGUAUAAUUGUUCUGGCAGAAAUUGUUGUUCUUUAAAAUUGUUUAAAAUCUAAUUCAAUUUUAAUGAGAAAAAAAAAUUAAAGAUUUGAAGUAUUUGUGUACGUGGUUUUAUUAGGGUAAUGAGUGUUUAUCAUAUGCCUUAAAGGUAACAUUUAUCAACAAGUUUAAAGUUUGUGUU